ACAACUCCACAACCCUAACCCGUGCCUGUCGCCGCCCACCUCGCCCUCAAUCCACGGUCCAGCCGCCGGCCUCGCGCUUGACCCAUAGUCCGGCCACCAUGGCCGCUGGCCUCGCGCUCGACCCCGUCGUCAAGCCGUCAUCCCGGAGGUCGGACUCCCUCCCCCAAGCUCCACCCCGACAUCCACCUAUCGUCGCACUCUGCCCCCUCUCCCCGAGCUCCCUCCCGAGAUCGAGCCGCCGUCCUCGCACUCCACAAUCCAACGACCAUCCUUGUGUCCCCCUGACAUCCAGCCUCGUCCUCGCAAAUAUCCGUCCCUGCUACUGUUGGGGCUCCAUCGUCGUGCUCCCGCUGCUUUCAGAUCUGCUGCUAUCGGGGCUCUAUUGUCAGCCUCCCUUUGCUGCCGGACAUGCUGAUACCAGGGAUCCAUCUUCAGGCUCAUUACGCUGCUGCCGGACCUGCUGUCGAGGCUCCAUCUCCUUCGAGUUUCGCCCCUCCCGAAGCCAGCCGUCCCCGUGCCUUGAGGUGAGUAGACAAUGAAGCUCGAGGCGUGAUAUGACGCUCGGUGUAGGUGGCCAUGGUGGACCUGAAGCUGUCUGAGAUAAGCGAUGGGAUUAAAGAUGCCAAGAAGACAACUAAUGUGCCAGGAGGUGCAGGUACUAAUAGCAGUUGCCUCUACUUGUUGAAGCUUUAGAUUUUUGUUUCCUCUUCAAAUAGAUGGUAACCUCAGCUUCAUCCUCAAUGGCUCAUGAUAUUGUAGUAUCUCUUCAUCUAAUUUAUACAUUACAAGUAAACUGAAUGUGUCAAGACAAUGCACAAAAGAGGUGCAACAUAACUACAUAAGGCACAGCCAUGUUUCCUCUAUA